rnacentral:rRNA from 1 species
ACGGAAGGCAGCAGUAGGGAAUAUUGCACAAUGGGGGAAACCCUGAUGCAGCGACGCCGCGUGAGUGAUGAAGUAUUUCGGUACGUAAAGCUCUAUCAGCAGGGAAGAUAAUGACGGUACCUGACUAAGAAGCCCCGGCUAACUACGUGCCAGCAGCCGCGGUAAUACGUAGGGGGCAAGCGUUAUCCGGAUUUACUGGGUGUAAGGGGAGUGUAGGUGGUCUGGCAAGUCAGAUGUGAAAGCCCGCGGCUCAACCGCGGGACUGCAUUUGAAACUGUCAGACUGGAGUGCAGGAGAGGAAAGUGGAAUUCCUAGUGUAGCGGUGAAAUGCGUAGAUAUUAGGAAGAACACCAGUGGCGAAGGCGGCUUUCUGGACUGUAACUGACACUGAGGCUCGAAAGCGUGGGGAGCAAACAGGAUUAGAUACCCUGGUA